rnacentral:rRNA from 1 species
CCUACGGGAGGCAGCAGUGAGGAAUAUUGGUCAAUGGGCUUACGCCUGAACCAGCCAAGUCGCGUGAGGGAAGACUGCCCUAUGGGUUGUAAACCUCUUUUGUCAGGGAGCAACGCCGGCUACGUGUAGCCGGACUGAGAGUACCCGAAGAAAAAGCAUCGGCUAACUCCGUGCCAGCAGCCGCGGUAAUACGGAGGAUGCGAGCGUUAUCCGGAUUUAUUGGGUUUAAAGGGUGCGUAGGCGGAAGGUUAAGUCAGCGGUCAAAUGUCGGUGCUCAACACCGGCCUGCCGUUGAAACUGGUCGUCUUGAGUGAGCGAGAAGUAUGCGGAAUGCGUGGUGUAGCGGUGAAAUGCAUAGAUAUCACGCAGAACUCCGAUUGCGAAGGCAGCAUACCGGCGCUCAACUGACGCUGAGGCACGAAAGCGUGGGGAUCGAACAGGAUUAGAUACCCGAGUAGUC